UUUUCCAGGAUUCUUCUUUGCAUCCCAUACACAUAGACGGAGUGGGAGGCUGCCGCAGCGGUGCUGGACUUGGAGCCCAAGCCAUCCGCUGCCGCCAACAGGUGCUGACAGUAUGAUGCCUUCAGAAUUGGCUCUCAGAACUUUCAACCAAGAUUAGAGCUAGCAUACAGUUUGCAGUUUAUAGUCGUACUCAUACUCAAUGAGUCCCUACCUCGGCUUCUAGGCAAGAUAUUCUUUAAUUUUAGUUGAUUAGCAACCAGUAUUGUUCAGGAAUUUUGAGUGGCACACAUCCUGGUCUGGUGAGCCGAUGACCAGACAUCAUUUGUCAAGGAAGCAAAAAGGACUACACUCACAGGGAACCAUGAAGCCAACGAUCCACGUCAACUAGAUGUUUUAGCUUUCAUUUUGUACAACUGAUGUCUCAUACUUGCAUCUUUUGGUUGUCCUUUUGUAAACCUGAUUAUGGUUUCUUGGUGGUUUUGUUUAGAACAGGUUGAAGUGUAUGUAUGUGGCAAUUAGUUAAUGGAAUAAAAAAUGUUUGGUGCUCCCGAUUUGAGCUUGACGUAUGGUGUUUGGGUGAUUAUGCUUAGAACACAUGAACUAUAUGUAUGUGACAAUCAGUACCAUAUGUUAAUUAAAGUUG